rnacentral:tRNA from 1 species
GGGGCAUUAGCUCAUCUGGGAGAGCGCUUCGCUGGCAGUGAAGAGGUAAGCGGUUCGAUCCCGCUAUGCUCCACCA